rnacentral:rRNA from 1 species
AAAAGCCUCUAAGCUUCAGAUAGUCAGGAAUCGUACCCCAAACCGACACAGGUGGUCGGGUAGAGAAUACCAAGGCGCUUGAGAGAACUCGGGUGAAGGAACUAGGCAAAAUGGUACCGUAACUUCGGGAGAAGGUACGCUCUUGAUGGUGAAGUCCCUCGCGGAUGGAGCUGACGAGAGUCGCAGAUACCAGGUGGCUGCAACUGUUUAUUAAAAACACAGCACUGUGCAAAAUCGCAAGAUGACGUAUACGGUGUGACGCCUGCCCGGUGCCGGAAGGUUAAUUGAUGGGGUUAGCGCAAGCGAAGCUCUUGAUCGAAGCCCCGGUAAACGGCGGCCGUAACUAUAACGGUCCUAAGGUAGCGAAAUUCCUUGUCGGGUAAGUUCCGACCUGCACGAAUGGCGUAAUGAUGGCCACGCUGUCUCCACCCGAGACUCAGUGAAAUUGAAAUCGCUGUGAAGAUGCAGUGUACCCGCGGCUAGACGGAAAGACCCCGUGAACCUUUACUACAGCUUGGCACUGAACAUUGAACCUACAUGUGUAGGAUAGGUGGGAGGCUAUGAAGACGUGACGCCAGUUGCGUUGGAGCCGUCCUUGAAAUACCACCCUUGUAUGUUUGAUGUUCUAACUUAGACCCGUUAUCCGGGUUGAGGACAGUGCCUGGUGGGUAGUUUGACUGGGGCGGUCUCCUCCCAAAGAGUAACGGAGGAGCACGAAGGUGGGCUAAUCACGGUUGGACAUCGUGAGGUUAGUGCAAUGGCAUAAGCCCGCUUAACUGCGAGAAUGACGGUUCGAGCAGGUGCGAAAGCAGGUCAUAGUGAUCCGGUGGUUCUGUAUGGAAGGGCCAUCGCUCAACGGAUAAAAGGUACUCCGGGGAUAACAGGCUGAUACCGCCCAAGAGUUCAUAUCGACGGCGGUGUUUGGCACCUCGAUGUCGGCUCAUCACAUCCUGGGGCUGAAGUCGGUCCCAAGGGUAUGGCUGUUCGCCAUUUAAAGUGGUACGCGAGCUGGGUUUAGAACGUCGUGAGACAGUUCGGUCCCUAUCUGCCGUGGGCGUUGGAAGAUUGAAGGGGGCUGCUCCUAGUACGAGAGGACCGGAGUGGACGAACCUCUGGUGUUCGGGUUGUGUCGCCAGACGCAUUGCCCGGUAGCUAAGUUCGGAAUUGAUAAGCGCUGAAAGCAUCUAAGCGCGAAGCGAGCCCUGAGAUGAGUCUUCCCUGACAGUUUAACUGUCCUGAAGGGUUGUUCGAGACUAGAACGUUGAUAGGCAGGGUGUGUAAGCGUUGUGAGGCGUUGAGCUAACCUGUACUAAUUGCCCGUGAGGCUUAACCAU